rnacentral:rRNA from 1 species
GACGAACGCUGGCGGCGUGCCUAACACAUGCAAGUCGAGCGAUCUGGCACUCAAUUUCUUUUGAAAUUGAGUGCCAGAUAGCGGCGGACGGGUGAGUAACGCGUGAGGAACCUGCCUUCUACUAGGGGAUAGCCUCGGGAAACUGGGAUUAAUACCCUAUGACACCUUUAAAUCGCAUGAUUUGAAGGUUAAAGCGUUUUAGCGGUAGAAGAUGGCCUCGCGUCCCAUUAGCUAGUUGGUGAGGUAACGGCUCACCAAGGCUACGAUGGGUAGCCGGCCUGAGAGGGUGAUCGGCCACACUGGAACUGAGACACGGUCCAGACUCCUACGGGAGGCAGCAGUGGGGAAUAUUGCACAAUGGGCGAAAGCCUGAUGCAGCGACGCCGCGUGAGCGAAGAAGGCCUUCGGGUCGUAAAGCUCUGUCCUAUGGGAAGAUAAUGACGGUACCAUAGGAGGAAGCCCCGGCUAACUACGUG